rnacentral:rRNA from 1 species
CCCUUAGAUGUUCUGGGCCGCACGCGCGCUACACUGACGAUGGCAACGAGUUUUUCCUUCGCCGAAAGGUGUGGGUAAUCUUUUGAAACAUCGUCGUGCUGGGGAUAGAUCAUUGCAAUUUUUGAUCUAGAACGAGGAAUUCCUAGUAAGCGCGAGUCAUCAGCUCGCGUUGAUUACGUCCCUGCCCUUUGUACACACCGCCCGUCGCUACUACCGAUUGAAUGGUUUAGUGAGGACUCCUGAUUGGCGCCGCCGCCCCGGCAACGGAGCAGCGGACUGCCGAAAAGUUGUUCAAACUUGAUCAUUUAGAGGAAGUAAAAGUCGUAACA